UGAGUUGCAUUAUAUUCUGUGCAGACGUGUACAGGAUUGAACUGCACAUGUUUUUGGCAGAGUAAAUAAAGCAUCCUGUUAUGCUUUUGAGGCCAUUGCUGCUCCAGCUCACUCUAGGUGAGACAGUUGCUUGUUUUGCUGCCUCAUGAACAUAAGAGACAAUAUUUGUUUUUUUAAAGACUUAUUCAGUCAAUGGAUCAGUAUUUAGUUUCUAAGUGGUAGCCUUUAAAGCAGAAUUGGGCGUCUUCCAUAUGUUGUUAGAACCCAAUGAUAUAGAUAGCGAGAUAUCAAAUUUUAUUGUUUUUCAAUAUCAAUAAAAAUUCCACAGGUAAAGAAAAAGAAUAAAACUCAACUGCUAUCUGCUUCAUCCAGCCUGUGCAAUGUUCAGAAAUGAUAAGUUUUGUAGGUUCUCCACUUGCCUUAAAGCAUUAGAACGCUUACCCUACCUAACAUCUUUUUGGAAAAUGAUAUUAAAUAUGUCUUUGUGAGGUAGCAGUGGAUAUUUAGACCACAGAAUGUUAGAUGACACGGUCUUACCAGACUUUGUGCAUGGCUAGAGGACAAAUUAUGACACUUCUGAAAUGUCCAUUAUGAAGGGAGGUGACCUUCCUUAGCCACUCUCAGCUAAAAGCUGUGGUUAUGGUUUUUUUUCACAGCUAAAACUUCAGUAAUAGCCUAUCCUUUCUCAUAAACACAGGUAACUGCCAGAAACAAGUCAGUUUUAGCAUCUCUGUGUUUGGAUGUGUAAUACAUCUCUUGCCAAUUGAGACUUCCAGGCAGUUGAGGUAACUAAGAGGCCUGCUGUUUCUGAUGCCAGUGCUCAAAAUGGUGACUCACCUCUUCAAACGAGAGUUGGGCUUAGAAAUGGUUUGAAAGCAAAAGGCAUUUUUUUGAGUUUCGUUUACAAAACACUCGCUUUAGUUUAUCAGCCUUUGAAAUACCCGGCCCACUUUAAUGUUUUCUUUUGAUCCAAGCCCUAAAUUUUAGGGUUCUAGUGAAAGUCUCUUUCUCUGUUCAGCUCAGCCUACUCUGAUUUUGGUCUCGAGGGAGUUUUUCUUCCUCCCCCCCCCCCCACUUUAUGGCCAAACAGCUUGCCACACAUUUCCAGGCAGAAAAUUAGGCUCAACGCAUGCUGAAGGACAAGUAGUCACUGCCCAGCCCACCCAUAAGGUGACUGCGUCAGGCGGCAGGAUCCACAGGGGCAGCAGAUCUUGAUGUAGAGCUUUAUUCAAGGCCGGCCCACCGAUGAGGCAAGGAUGUUUUUAAAGAGGAGGAAGAUGGACAUGCAAAGUAGAAAAUCAAGACUGAGUUCCACAUUGAAGACGUACUUUAGCAGAAUGUGGCAGGCCUUGGAGGGGAAGGGACAUACGCAACCAGUUUGGGCUCAGAGACAGAAGGUCCAUGUGUCCUUUCGUGGGCUGGAGCCCCUAAAGGACAGCAUUGCAGUCAACCACUAGCAGGUAUAUAUGGCAUGCAAAUACACCUUGAAGUCUUAUUAAUUUCAGUGGCAGAGCUUUGAGUACAUGUUUCAUCAACAGAACUUCAAAGUGCUUAGUUUUGGCUAGAUCAUGCCCCACCUUAUUCCUAAAGCAACUGACUUGGUUAAGAGUGACAUGUUCAUCCUUUGAACAAAGCAAAGAGCAUCAACUAGAAGAGACAGACUGUUUCGCAAAAGCCUUCUCAGCUAAGAUUUCCUGGAAAUAUCUUUACUUGUCUGUGUUACAAGAACACAAGGAGGAUGGAGAAUGAUACAGACCAGGCAUGAUGCUUUAAAAUAAUAACAAUACUUUGACAAAGCUGAUAUAACAUGCUUUCAGCUCUUUGGUGUUCUACUUCUAAGCACCUAAUAAAACUACACAAAAUUGCAUUCAACACCUGAAGUUCUCUCAUAAGCCUGUUUGCAGCAAAUACUGAAAGAAUCAUAGAGUUGGAGUGCACCCAACUGUCAUCUA